rnacentral:rRNA from 1 species
UACGUAGGGGGCAAACGUUGCUCGGAAUUACUGGGCGUAAAGGGUGUGCAGGUGGCUGAGCAAGUCGAAGAUGAAAUCCCGAGGCUCAACCUCGGAAUUGUCUUUGAAACUGUUCAGCUUGAGGAUAACUGAGGAGGACGGAAUUCCCGGUGGAGCGGUGAAAUGCGUAGAUAUCGGGAGGAACACCAGAGGCGAAGGCGGUUCUCUGAGUUAUUCCUGACACUGAGACACGAAAGCUAGGGGAGCGAACGGGAUUAGAUACCCGAGUA